UGGGGAAUAUUGGACAAUGGGGGCAACCCUGACCCAGCAAUGCCGCGUGAGUGAUGAAGGCCUUAGGGUUGUAAAGCUCUUUCGCACGCGACGAUGAUGACGGUAGCGUGAGAAGAAGCCCCGGCUAACUUCGUGCCAGCAGCCGCGGUAAUACGAAAGGGGCGAGCGUUGUUCGGAAUUACUGGGCGUAAAGGGCGCGUAGGCGGCCCGAUCAGUCAGAUGUGAAAGCCCCGGGCUCAACCUGGGAACUGCAUUUGAUACUGUCGGGCUUGAGUUCCGGAGAGGAUGGUGGAAUUCCCAGUGUAGAGGUGAAAUUCGUAGAUAUUGGGAAGAACACCGGUGGCGAAGGCGGCCAUCUGGACGGACACUGACGCUGAGGCGCGAAGGCGUGGGGAGCAAACA
rnacentral:rRNA from 1 species